rnacentral:rRNA from 1 species
AUACGUAGGGGGCUAGCGUUAUCCGGAAUUACUGGGCGUAAAGGGUGCGUAGGUGGUUUCUUAAGUCAGAAGUGAAAGGCUACGGCUCAACCGUAGUAAGCUUUUGAAACUAAGAGACUUGAGUGCAGGAGAGGAGAGUAGAAUUCCUAGUGUAGCGGUGAAAUGCGUAGAUAUUAGGAGGAAUACCAGUUGCGAAGGCGGCUCUCUGGACUGUAACUGACACUGAGGCACGAAAGCGUGGGGAGCAAACAGGAUUAGAUACCCUGGUAGUCCACGCCGUAAACGAUGAGUACUAGCUGUCGGGGGUUACCCCCCUCGGUGGCGCAGCUAACGCAUUAAGUACUCCGCCUGGGAAGUACGCUCGCAAGAGUGAAACUCAAAUGAACUGACGGGG